rnacentral:rRNA from 1 species
GACGAACGCUGGCGGCGUGCUUAACACAUGCAAGUCGAACGGAAAGGCCCUGCUUUUGUGGGGUGCUCGAGUGGCGAACGGGUGAGUAACACGUGAGUAACCUGCCCUUGACUUUGGGAUAACUUCAGGAAACUGGGGCUAAUACCGGAUAGGAGCUCCUGCUGCAUGGUGGGGGUUGGAAAGUUUCGGCGGUUGGGGAUGGACUCGCGGCUUAUCAGCUUGUUGGUGGGGUAGUGGCUUACCAAGGCUUUGACGGGUAGCCGGCCUGAGAGGGUGACCGGCCACAUUGGGACUGAGGUACGGCGCAGACGCCUACGGGAGGCAGCAGGGGGGAAUAUUGCACAAUGGGCGGAAGCGUGAUGCAGAAGCGCCGCGUGCGGGAUGACGGGCUUCGGGUUGUAAACCGCUGUCGCCGGUGACGAAGCGGGAGUGACGGUAAUGAGUAAAGAAGCAACGGCUAACUACGUG